rnacentral:rRNA from 1 species
UACGUAGGGUGCGAGCGUUGUCCGGAAUUACUGGGCGUAAAGGGCUCGUAGGUGGUUUGUCGCGUCGUCUGUGAAAUUCCGGGGCUUAACUCCGGGCGUGCAGGCGAUACGGGCAUAACUUGAGUACUGUAGGGGUAACUGGAAUUCCUGGUGUAGCGGUGAAAUGCGCAGAUAUCAGGAGGAACACCGAUGGCGAAGGCAGGUUACUGGGCAGUUACUGACGCUGAGGAGCGAAAGCAUGGGUAGCGAACAGGAUUAGAU